ACCUUGAGGAGAAAGUGGAGGGGCUCAUGGAGGCACACAAUGAGCUUGCAGAAGCACACACUGCGCUCCCUGAAACAAUAGGCCCCAAGACCUCACUAAACUUGUCCAAGAUCUGUUCAGGGUGCUUUUUCCGACACUAGAGACUGCAGACAUCCGCUUAGACCGUACCCACUGUCUACCAAAACCUAGACACCUACCGACCUCUACCCCAAGAGACGUC